UUGGCGGAUAAAAAGAGGAUUUUCGAUACAUCGAGCUCAUCCCAGCUCUAGUAUUGGUGCCCAGGAAACCCCGAGAUGGAAAGGAGGCUCCCCAGGAAACCGCCUUGGUAUUUUGAAGGAGUGCAAGGCGCCGGUGGAAUUCCACGUGUUCGCCAGAGUGAAGUCCCAUCAACAAUGAUUGGUGUUGAAUUUCAACUCAUGGAAGGAAGAGGGAGAAUGAAGAAAUCAGCCCAAGGGUAAUGGGACGUUCUGGUGCAUCAGAAAUCGAUGGAGGACUCACCUGCAAUAAAACGAUAAAAUAAGCAUAUGAUAUCGGCGUGGAAUGCUAAUUGACUUCGAAAGUAGGAGGAAUGUGAGAAAAGUUAUCAAUUUCUCUUCCCAAAACACUUGUCAACAAAAAUGUAUUGAGAAUGAUUCCAAGUUUACCUCAUUUUAUUAAACAACUUAUUACCAGUUGUGCAGUAA